UACAGAGGGUGCAAGCGUUAAUCGGAGUGACUGGGCGUAAAGGGCGCGUAGGUGGACAUAUAAGUAAAUUGUGAAAGACCCGGGCUUAACCUGGGAAGGUCAAUUUAAACGGUAUGUCUAGAGUGGAGUAGAGGGAAGUAGAAUUUCCGGUGUAGCGGUGAAAUGCGUAGAUAUCGGAAGGAAUACCGGUGGCGAAGGCGUCUUCCUGGACUCUAACUGACACUGAGGCGCGAAAGCAUGGGGAUCAAACAGG
rnacentral:rRNA from 1 species